UUUUCUUCUUUUCUUUUC
rnacentral:sRNA from 1 species